rnacentral:lncRNA from 1 species
CAGGAGAGCUGUGCUGGUUCUUUCUUCUUGCCCUCCUCACAGAGUAGUCUUGAGGUGUGGACAGGAGAAUGUAGAGAUCCUGGAGCCUUCUUGUUCAGGCUCAGGUGAACCAGCCAUGAAUGUCCCCAAACCAGCACAAAACUGCAACUCUGGUCAUCCAAGAUCCCUAAGGUAAGAACUUGAUAGCAGCUCUGCCUGGAAUGAGUAAAUAGAGGCUCUACAUUAAUUAAUUAAGCAGCAAACAGGGAUUUGCUGGGCUGAUUUGUGGUUAUGGUACUUUCUAGCACAUACAAGAGAGGAUUGUGAGGUGGUGUUUACCAGAGCUGGAAACUUGGGUCUGAUGUAUGCAGUACUGGGAGUGAGGGGGAAGGGGAACUGCCAGAGGAAUGAAUCAGUCUUUUCUUAAAAAGCUCCUUCCCCUCCUGCCUGGUGACUCCAGACUCCUCCUGGUUUUUAAUCCCAGAAAUAGCAUGGAAUAAUUGAGAUUUUCAACGUGUGGAAGGUCAGAGCAGGGGAAGGCUUAGCAAGACGAUGUGGGAUUGGUAGGGGUCAAGGCAACACAGAGAUGGUAGUGUGAAGAAAAAUGAACUUUUGAAUACUCUUACAUAAAUAAAAAUAUGACUGUGUUUUAAAAGCUUAAGAUACCAUAGACCAGAGACAGAAACUUUACUUGAAUCUUCCUUAACUGUGAAAGCUCAGACAACUCCAUGUGAGUAAUUCUAAAAUUGAGAAAUAUUGAUGGAGAUGAUGAGAAAUAAGUAAAGCCACAAUGUCCUGUGAUAUUGACAUGAGGGCUUUCCUGGAGCCAGGCUCUGGGGAGCUCCAGACUAGUCCAAGCAUUAGUGGCUCUCCUCAUGCUACUGGCUUGUGGGGAAGGACCCCAGAGACUUCAUCACAGGCUUCUGUCUGAAUCUGCUUCCAAAACAUCUGGUUCACAAAGAACUGCCAAAAUAAUAAUACUGAAUUAUUUAAUGGGUUUGUUAGAGCAUGAUAAUUACUCUCCUCUUGAAUAAGAACUUGUUAUAAUGAUAUCUUCAAAGCACUGGCUGUGGCCCUGAAGUUUGAAGUUUCUUUGCAUUUUUUGCCCCCUAUUACUGUGUAUAGGUUGAAGUAGAUUUAAAAAAAUAUUUGCGAGGCUGCAAAUAAAAAAAAAUAAAGGAAAAAAUAACACUGGGAGCCCAUUGUCAGCUUCUCGGGAAGAAAGAGUACAAAGGGAAGGGGGAUGGGGACUUGCCCUGCCAGGAUCCAGGCUGCUGCAGGUGAAUCUCAUGCUGUGUUUAGGUGGGACAAUUGAUUUGCAAUGAGCUCACCUGUGUGUGGCAAACAUUGAGGGAGAGAGAAGGUGGUUUAAUCCUUUCACAGGUGACUUCAUUUUCUUUUUCUCAUCACUCUUGGUAAAUGCUAGGGGCUUGGAUUGGCUUGUAAGCAGUGGUGUUCCCAGGCCUGAACACCUCCACUGUGGAGCAGGAGGGGUUUGAUGGCAUGUUUAGAGUUUUUUUCCAAGAAGCUUGGGAAGUCCUCCGUGGUGUGACACAGGGAGGGCCAUCCUGGCUCAGGCCAGUGUGCUGAGCCCUGUUAAACCACAGCUUCCCUCACAGCUUAAGUGUAAAGCUCAGAGAGAAAGGAAGAUGUUCUCUUGGGUUUGGAGGUGGCCUUUCCAAAUAGGAUCCAGUUUGUUGUCAGAGUGGUGGGAUUGGCCUGAACAUCAAUCAGUGGCGUGGGGCUGUUUUCACAGGCAUUAGACUUCAUAAGGGAGGAAAUACACAAUCUAAAAUUAAGGUUUUUUCCUCCCCCUGCUGAAAGGGAAGUCUCCACAGAGUGCUGCAUGCUCCCAUUUAGGAAGGCUCAGGGCCCACCCUACCCCACCUUGAGAAUCCCAGGAAAAGCACACCAUGAAACAUGGAAAUGUUUCCAUGGGAACUGUUCCUCUGCUCCUGCUAAUAAAACAGACCUAUAACACCAGUGACAGCAGGUCCCAGUUUCUGCACCAAACUACAAACAGUGAAUGCUACAAAGGGAGCUGGUAAAGAGCAGAAGUGUAAAUCAACAGAAGUGCUAAAUUAGGUACGUGAAUGCCUCUCCGUGAGAAAGCACAAGCAGAUAAACAAAGCCCUUGGGGAAAAAAAGAUCACUUUAAUUACAGCACAUCCAGCCAACAGAAGCCCCAUGGAUUGUGUGAAAUCAGGUUUGUUCUUCUGAUCCACAGCAGGAAACUGUAGCAGAUCAAAUGUGUUCAGGGAGGCUGUCCUGCUAAUUGCUGCUCCUAGCUGAGCCAAAGCAAACUAUUUAGACAAAGGAGAGAAUUUGCUUUUUAUUUAGAAUUAAUUAUGAAAUAGGAUGUCUUGAUGGGCUUCACAAUCACACUACAUUUCCUGGGGAAAAGAAAAAAAAAGUAGUUCUAAUCCUGUGAAAUAAUUGGAGAAUUAACCCAUUGCUUCAGGCUGGAACCCCAACAUGUGCAUACAAUUAGGUGUAAGAUGAAUGAUGUCAUGAAUAAGGCCUUUUCUUCAAUCACGAUGAAUUAUGAAACUAAUUUUAAAGCCUUCCUUACAAGCAUUCUUGUAUGUUCUGAUGUUAAAACUGUGGAGUUUUUUGGGGUUUUCCCCCUUUCUGGCAUGAUUUUCACACUUCCCUUUUGUUUUUAUUUUUAAGCAUGUUGUGGCCAUUUUACAGCAUCUCUUUGGCUUCUCACUAGAAAUUUCAGAGUUUUGCACUGAGUAUUUUGGGAGUUGGAUGUAUUGCUUGGGUACUCUCACUUAAUGCUGCAAAACAUUAACUUGAGGUUUCAGUUUCUUCCUGCGCUGUUGAGCUCAUGUGGGCUGUCUUGGAGCAGCUUAUCUGCAUUUGUAGCCAUGGACAAACAAGGCCAAAGAGGCAUGGAAGAAGUUGUGUUGGUUACCUGACAGAAUGGAAAGUGCAGGAAUAUCCAUACAGAGCAUCCAUAAUACAUAUGUACUUAUGAAUUAUGUUAAGUAAUAACUUUACUGGGUCCAGGAAAAUGUUUCUGCAAGUGCUGAUGGAAAACUCAGCUGGAUGGGAAGGCAGGUAUGUGCCAGCAGAGAGCAAUAAAUGUGCUGCUCUAAAUGCACUUUGGAGGCAUUUUCAGGUGUAAAAAUGAGCAUUUGGUUAAAAAAAAAAUGCAAAUAAAUGAAAAGUAGACAACUUGAAGCUUUCUUAGCUGCUUCCCGUGGCUCUUUUGAAGCUGCCUUCUCUUUUCUCAGAAUAGUUCCAUGUGACAGCCAGCUUGACUUUUCCUCUGCUAAUAUCCCUACCUUAGAAGGAAAAAGGAACAAUGGAGAGAAGAGGCAGCCAGUGAUCAGUGUCCAGACUGGUGCUGAUAAGGUUUUAUCUUGGAUCUCGAUUAAUUAAUUUAUGCUGAGGUCUCAGUCGGAAAUGUCCUUGCUUGCUUUCGGGAACCACCGAGGGCUUGGCCCUGCUGUGUCCCAGGAUUCAUUGGCUGGGAUCGGGGCAGGGGUUGUUGAGGGGUCCCCCGGAUCCCUGGAGCUGGUUUUUACAUGGGGUUGUUGGGGAUGUUUCUGUUCCCCAGAUCCCUGGAGCUGGUUUUUGCAGUGGACUUUUUCCACAUGAUGCAGCCGGGCGGUGAGAACUGGCAGGAGCAGCCUGCUCCUUGCACACCCCUCAGAGCCCCUUCAGAGCCUCAUCUCCCUCACAACUCCCGUCUUACCCCACGGCACCAUCUUCCCUCACAAUUCCCCUUGCAGCCCCAUCUUUUUCAGUCUCCCUCACAACCCCCCUCUCUCUCCCCUCACGGCCCCAUUCUUCCCUCAUAACUACUCCCUGUCUCCUCGGAGCCCUGUUUUCCCCUCAACGGCCUCAUUCUCCCCCUAAUUCCUCUCUCGCUCCCCUCUUUCCCCACACAAAUCCUCUCUCUCCCCUCAUCAACCCCAUUUUCCCCUCACAGCCCCAUCUCUGCCAUCUCCCCUCUCUCUCCCCUCACGGUGCCAUUCUCCCCUCAUAGUUCUCUCUCUCAUGGCCCCAUUCUCCCCUCUCUCCCCUCACAGCCCCUUCUCUGCCAUCUUCCCUCACGGCCCUGUUCUCCCCAGCACAGCACCAGGCCUUCACCCUCAGCACAAGUACUCGUCAUAAAUAUGGAAAAUACUGAUCUGGGAGAGUCUGGAGGGAAAAAAAAAAAACAAACAAAAAAA